CCUACGGGGGGCAGCAGUGAGGAAUAUUGGUCAAUGGACGAGAGUCUGAACCAGCCAAGUAGCGUGAAGGAUGACUGCCCUAUGGGUUGUAAACUUCUUUUAUAUGGGAAUAAAACGUUCCACGUGUGGGAUUUUGUAUGUACCAUAUGAAUAAGGAUCGGCUAACUCCGUGCCAGCAGCCGCGGUAAUACGGAGGAUCCGAGCGUUAUCCGGAUUUAUUGGGUUUAAAGGGAGCGUAGGUGGAUUGUUAAGUCAGUUGUGAAAGUUUGCGGCUCAACCGUAAAAUUGCAGUUGAGACUGGCAGUCUUGAGUACAGUAGAGGUGGGCGGAAUUCGUGGUGUAGCGGUGAAAUGCUUAGAUAUCACGAAGAACUCCGAUUGCGAAGGCAGUUCACUGGACUGCAACUGACACUGAGGCUCGAAAGUGUGGGUAUCAAACAGGAUUAGAUACCCGAGUAGUC
rnacentral:rRNA from 1 species